rnacentral:misc_RNA from 1 species
GAUGAAGAACGUAGUGAAAUGCGAUACUUGGUGUGAAUUGCAGAAUCCCGUGAACCAUCGAGUCUUUGAACGCAAGUUGCGCCCGAAGCCAUCAGGUUGAGGGCACGUCUGCCUGGGCGUCACAUAUCGUUGCCCAAUGCCUAUUGCAGUGCAAUAGGAAUUUCUAGGGCGAAUGAUGGCUUCCCGUGAGCGUUGUUGCCUCGCGGUUGGUUGAAAAUCGAGUCCUUGGUAGGGUGUGCCAUGGUAGAUGGUGGUCGAGUUAGAACGAUACCGAUCAUGUGCAUGCUCCCCAAAAUAUGGCCUCUAUGACCCACACGCGUCUUUUGACGCUCAUGACGAGACCUCAGGUCAGGCGGGGCUACCCGCUGAAUUUAAGCAUAUCAAUAAGCGUAGGA